ACGGGAGGCAGCAGUGGGGAAUAUUGCACAAUGGGGGAAACCCUGAUGCAGCAACGCCGCGUGAAGGAAGAAGGCCUUUGGGUCGUAAACUUCUGUUCUGAGGGAAGAAGAAAGUGACGGUACCUCAGGAGAAAGCCCCGGCUAACUACGUGCCAGCAGCCGCGGUAAUACGUAGGGGGCGAGCGUUGUCCGGAAUUAUUGGGCGUAAAGAGUACGUAGGCGGUUUGCUAAGCGCAAGGUGAAAGGCAGUGGCUUAACCAUUGUAAGCCUUGCGAACUGGCAGACUUGAGUGCAGGAGAGGAAAGCGGAAUUCCUAGUGUAGCGGUGAAAUGCGUAGAUAUUAGGAGGAACACCGGUGGCGAAGGCGGCUUUCUGGACUGUAACUGACGCUGAGGUACGAAAGCGUGGGGAGCAAACAGGAUUAGAUACCCUGGUA
rnacentral:rRNA from 1 species